GCGCGCGUAUACGUGCAUAGCGAUAAAACGCGCGAGGCGAACCGAUAUUAAACGAUAUUUAUACGCGCAAUCGGGAAUGGGCGAUACCGUAUCGUACAAGUAUUUACUCGAAUUUUUUUUCGUUCGCAGUCGUCCGGCUAAUGUCUAUAAAAGACCGCGGGGGUUUCGAAUAAAACCGGUGUUCGUGUUCUAUCGCUCGACCGUUAUUACGAUAC